AAGCGAGUGGCGAACUGGUGAGUAACACGUGGGAAAUCUGCCCAGAAGCAGGGGAUAACACUUGGAAACAGGUGCUAAUACCGUAUAACAACAAAAACCGCAUGGUUUUUGUUUGAAAGGUGGCUUCGGCUAUCACUUCUGGAUGAUCCCGCGGCGUAUUAGUUAGUUGGUGAGGUAAAGGCCCACCAAGACAAUGAUACGUAGCCGACCUGAGAGGGUAAUCGGCCACAUUGGGACUGAGACACGGCCCAAACUCCUACGGGAGGCAGCAGUAGGGAAUCUUCCACAAUGGACGAAAGUCUGAUGGAGCAAUGCCGCGUGAGUGAAGAAGGGUUUCGGCUCGUAAAACUCUGUUGUUAAAGAAGAACACUUCUGAGAGUAACUGUUCAGAAGUUGACGGUAUUUAACCAGAAAGCCACGGCUAACUACGUGCCAGCAGCCGCGGUAAUACGUAGGUGGCAAGCGUUGUCCGGAUUUAUUGGGCGUAAAGCGAGCGCAGGCGGUUUUUUAAGUCUGAUGUGAAAGCCUUCGGCUUAACCGGAGAAGUGCAUCGGAAACUGGGAAACUUGAGUGCAGAAGAGGACAGUGGAGCUCCAUGUGUAGCGGUGGAAUGCGUAGAUAUAUGGAAGAACACCAGUGGCGAAUGCGGCUGUCUAGUCUGUAACUGACGCUGAGGCUCGAAAGCAUGGGUAGCGAACAGGAUUAGAUACCCUGGUAGUCCAUGCCGUAAACGAUGAGUGCUAGGUGUUGGAGGGUUCCGCCCUUCAGUGCCGCAGCUAACGCAUUAAGCACUCCGCCUGGGGAGUACGACCGCAAGGUUGAAACUCAAAGGAAUUGACGGGGACCCGCACAAGCGGUGGAGCAUGUG
rnacentral:rRNA from 1 species